UAAAUUUGGAAGAGUGCUUUCGCCAUAAACUUGAUAGGGCCCCGAUUCAUUAGAAUGCAUAAAGAGUUUCCGUAAUGUUACAGUCUAUUAACAUAAUACGCCUCGGUUGGUAGGUGCAUUCAAUGUUCUCGUUCUUGGAUUCGUGAUCGUAAUCUAGAAGGAAUCACAUUAGUAGGCAACGGGACCAAUUACUCGCAAAGGAAGAAAAGGAUAAGGUAUAAGGAUAUAGGGACAAUUAUACACGAAGAUCGGUAGCUUUCAGGAAAACAUAUAUUUGGGACAUGUAAUCAAGGUCUAACCGAGCCAAUACUCCGGGCCCGAAGGGAAUUUUCUAAAUUCGAUCUGGCGUCCGGAUACACCUCGCAUGACCAAACAAAGUGCUCGAUGUCGUGAAUGGCUGAAGUUGGAAUUUGUAGUUCCUUCAGAAACUGUGACUGCAGCACCGAGUAGUGAAGAUGGUUCAUCUGUAGGAGGGAGGCCUGAAAAAGAUUACAAAGAAUGUAAAGAUCGUACUAAACGAAGAAAAACUGCAAAAACAGGUACGGGAAGGGAGGGUAAGCCCGCCACUGAUUAUAAAACCGGCACCCCCUGAGUUUUACUAGAAAAAUCUGACUAACUACGUUUUUGAAUACUCUACAUGUUAGUAUUUAUUAUUUUAGACGUUUUGAAUCACAUCGAACCCACCGUGAUCCGUCAAUUGUCAAAAUAUAAAUCAAAACAAACGCGAGUGCCGAUAAUAUGUAGCCGGAUGUAAUUUUCCGUCAGUGAAGUUUAAGCUUUUUAUUGUUGAACGCGGUUUCAAAUUCUUUUCCGUUGCUCUACAUUUGUCCCCUGGAUUGUUAGCAAUCACUGGGAUUCGAGUUGAGAUGCCUCGCAGCUACCAAAGAAAAACGAAUCGAGGGAGUUGGUCCCAGGAGAACCUCACCCUUGCAAAAGAGGCUAUUGUUAGUGGAGUUUCUAUCAAACGUGCUUCCACGACUUUUGAACUACUGAUGUAAAUUUAAUGUUGGAUUUAAGCUGUUCGAUAAAAUUAAAUGAACUUCAUCAUUGAACGAAAAAUAAUGGCUGUAUGGUCUUAACGAAAAUAAUAAACUAAUUACAACUAAACAUAA